GGUCAGCCUACAUCAAGUGAUUGACAAAAUGUUUUCUUCCUUUUCAGUUCCAGUGAGAGGGAAAGAGACUUCCCAUCUCAACUGAAUUUCCCGACUUUCAAUGACAGGAAGAAGUUAAAGCAAGCAGGGGUGCCACAGCUAAGUUUGCCAGCUCAAUGAGCGCCAGCGCGCCAUGCAUGCGUUCACGCUGCUCCUGGAGGCGACGGUGGCGGGCAGCUGAAUGAGCGCUGUUUUUAUCCUCAUCAUCCUCUUCGUCAGACUGAAGAUACUCCAUUGGGUCCUGCUGUUCCUGAUCUGUUUUCUGGAUUGCUUUGGUCUUCAAAGCAGGAGCACGCUGCUCUCUAGUCUCCCAGUACCUAGAACAUCAAACGUGAGGAAUACAUGUAAAUACAUACAAUUGACUCGCACACCAACAAUUCAAAAUGGGCAAAAACCUCCCAAGUACUAGCUUGCAUCCAACUGGGCAUUGCACUUGGCUUUACCUUUCAGCCCCUAUAUGGUAGCAUUUAAACUGUCAAAAACCUUCUUUAUUCAGUAUUUUAAAUGUAAAGUGCUCAUGUGAACACAUGUGACAGAUUUCUUGUCUCCAUGGUGUCCUCAGCAGGCAUUUCUUCCUAGGCAUACAGUACCCCUCAUACAAAUGCAAAUUCAGCAAAGCUGUAGCACUAGCUAAUGAAGUAUUAGCAGGUGUUGAUCAAGCAAAAAAAAGUAUUGAAGUAGAGAGCAAACACAAAACAAAAGAAAACUGUAGGAAAAAAGUCUCAUAAGAAACUGUGUCUUGACCAGGAGUUCAUAAUUCUUCAAGGAGAGGCAUAAUUCUUCAAGGAGAUGUAUACUGGAAGAACAUCUAGUUUUGUUAUCUUGGGGUUUAACUAUCCCAAAGAAUUAAUGCUGCGACAGAUCACUCUUUUAAGUGUUUUGAGAAAGAUGACACCAUGAGAGAACUUACUUCGCUAGCCACUCGGCCACAGCUUUAUUAUCAGCUGUCUCCUUCUUACUCAGCCUGUUGGUGAGCUCUUCCCUCUUGAGUCGGGCGUAGGGAUGUUUGGGACAAUGACGGUUUGCAUGUGUGAAUCUGCUUAAACAGCCUUAAAAAACCACAGAGUCACAAUGAAAAACAUGUUACAGAAAGCAGCCAACCAAAAAAGUAUAGCAUCUGUGGGAUGGAAAUGCCACUGAAUCCACCCUUCCCCAUUCAUAAAAACCCUAGGUUUGGUAGAAAACCAAAGGCUCUAGGUUCGUAACAUGCUCCAUUAUUUUAUACGUAAGUAUCCACUGACACAGAAUGUAUGUAAUCCUUAGAUACAUACUUGCAGAAUUAGGCAGAUUCUGCACAGCUCUAUCCUUCCCUACAAGUUCCACCAAAUUUAAACUCCAAAGUUUUUGCCAUGUGAACACGCAUGCAUUCCCAAUAUUAGUCUGACCCCAGAAAGCUGUAAAUAGUUUUCUGAUGACUUACCAUUCUCUGAGCAGACAAAAGGCUUCUCUCCUGUGUGGAGACGCUGGUGAGUUUUGAGCUGCCCACUCUGUACAAAGGCUUUCCCACAAUCUGGGUAGUCACAUAAAUAAGGCCUUUCACCUAAAAGCAGCAACAGAAGAGAUUUAUGAAAGAUGACUAGAAGUGUCAAAGUAUCCAGUGGCAGUCCCUGGCUUGAGCCUGGCACAAGCAAGCUCUCCUUUUACCCACUCAGAAACUUGCCAACUACUUAAAAAAUCCUGGUGUACUUAGAAGUGCAUGAUCUGUGCUACUGAAAAAUAAUUUCCAAAGAGAAAAAAUAUUGUACUUUUCCUUGUCAUAUUUUCUAGUUUUAGACUCUUAGAUAGCACUACAUAAGUUUUGUGAAACUGUGCAGAUGUAGAGAAAGAAAUAUGGACAAGUAUUUGGACAAGUAAUGUAACUCAGGUUGUAACCAGAAAAAUUUUAUCCUUACCAUAGCCUGAACUAGAGUAAAAUACCUGAGGUCAACAUUACUACAAGGUUAUAGAAAUAUCUUAUUAGGAGAAAUAUCUCAUGUUUAAGAAAAGUUGUAAUGAUGGAGGCUGCAUGAGAAACUUAUUCCAGAUUAAAGUUUUCUAAAAUCAGUCAUCAAGAAAGAGUUCUCCACGCAAACUGCAACCAGAAGAACAAAGGUAGCAUGUGUCUCCUUCAAGCAGACCUGCACACACUACACAAAGGUAUGCCAUGCCACUGCCCUCAGGAAGGCAACAAAAUGAGGGUGAGUCUGCCUCACCAAUUCAGAGGAAUGACAGCUCUACUCAGUUAAGUAGUUCUUACAAGUUCAACACAUUGUAGGACCGCGUGAUAUAACAUAUUUUGACCAAAAAAAUGAGGAAUGUUGCUGUUUAAUAUCAUUAUCUCAAUUAGUCACAGUGACCUGAGUCAGAAGGAGAUGGUGAGAGCCAAGGCUUUUGUGGGAUUUUGUUUGGUUGGUUUGGGGGAGUGCUGGUGGUGCUGUCUGUAUUGUAAGCUAAAUUUGUUCAUAUUUUAUGGCAAACACAGUGUUCUGUUGAAGAAAUUAAAUGUAUUUGCUAAAACCAAACAGCAUCUUCAGUUUAAGCUCAGCUGAGUAUUGAGUGAGUUCAUCAUACAUUUAAACUUUACUGCAAAUCACUUUCUAAAUAUAGUUCAGUAAAUCAGCAUGAUCUCCUCCAUCCAAGAAAAUUAAUUUUAGGUGGUGGGAAAAUCAACUGGAUGGUGAUUUUAAGCAUGUGGACUCUUCUCCCAAUAUUUAAGCACACUUCCAAGGAUGUGACAAUCCUGAAGUUGCCAGCCACUUUUUAAGUUAGUGUAACCUCUUACAGCAAAACUUCAAUUGUGAUGUGAAAAAUACAUCAGCAAGGAGAGAGGAAACAAAUCACAAUGAAGAUGCAAUCAGGAUACAAAGUGCUAUCAAGCUCAAGCACUAAGCCCAAGACUACAGUCUUUUCUACAAAACGAGUCUGUGACAUCGACAGAUAAAAUGUUUACACAAUUUGACUAUACUAUUAUAGCCCAAAUUGCUGCAAAUUUGUCACUUUCCCAUGACAAAUAUGGUUACAAAGACUUUGAUUGACUAACAAGCACUGGGAGCAAAGUAUGGUUAAUGUAGCUGUUACAAUAAAAUCAUAACAGGUU